GACGAACGCUGGCGGCGUGCCUAAUACAUGCAAGUAGAACGCUGAAGACUUUAGCUUGCUAAAAUUGGAAGAGUUGCGAACGGGUGAGUAACGCGUAGGUAACCUGCCUACUAGCGGGGGAAAACUAUUGGAAACGAUAGCAAAUAACGUAUAACAGCCAUUAACCCAUGUUAGAUGCUUGAAAGGAGCAAUUGCUUGACUAGUGGAUGGAACUGGGUUGUAUUAGCUAGUUGGUGAGGUAACGGCUCACCAAGGCGACGAUACAUAGCCGACCUGAGAGGGUGAUCGGCCACACUGGGACUGAGACACGGCCCAGACUCCUACGGGAGGCAGCAGUAGGGAAUCUUCGGCAAUGGGGGCAACCCUGACCGAGCAACGCCGCGUGAGUGAAGAAGGUUUUCGGAUCGUAAAGCUCUGUUGUAAGAGAAGAACGUGUGUGAGAGUGGAAAGUUCACACAGUGACGGUAACUUACCAGAAAGGGACGGCUAACUACGUGCCAGCAGCCGCAGUAA
rnacentral:rRNA from 1 species